UUCAUUUUUAGAAAAUGUCAUUUUAUUCGUAUUUUGCGGUAAUAACCGAUUUGGUGCAGCUAGUAACUUUAAUGCUAAACAAAGCAUGAUAUAUAAGAAAAGCAAAUAAAAAUAUGUAUCCCAAAAUUUUAAUAAGAUUAUUUAAAUAAAAAAAGUAGUAUCUGUCAAAUAAGAAACGAAAUAAUGGACAGAGUGUAAUCACAAUUCGCCUUUCGAUAUUUAUUAAAGACUUGUAAAAUGUUGACUUUUCAAGUUUUGUACGACGUACUAUUGUAGUGUUAGAUAGAAACAAAUUAGGUCGAAUUCACAAUCUUAUAAAAAUAAUCAUCAUAUCAACCGAUAGACGUCCACUCCUGGACUCUUGUAGGGAGUUUCAAAUUCCACGGUUUUGCUCUGGUUGCGCGGGAUAGACCAACGCUGCGCUUACCAGUGCGGGGUCGACAUUCCUUCCUUAACGUGCAUCCGUUCUCCGAGCUAUGUGCCCCGUUCAUUGCCACUUUUUUUUCGCGACUCGUUGAGCUAUGUCAGUAACUCUGGUUACUUAUACGGAGCUCUUAUUUUUCGGAUUUGAUCACCGAGAGAUACUCCGAGCAUAAAUCUCUCCGUCGCCAUAAAAAAUGUAUUUUCCUAAUACUAAGCUAAUUUUUGUAUAGUAAUGCCCCCAUAUACCAAAUUUGAACAAAUUUUGAUGUUUUUCAAGUAAAACUUUCGGAACUCAAAUAGAACCAUAGAAGGCACUUUAAAUACGUAUAAACAAUCAAAAUAUAUCACAGUGAGUUGAUUGCGAUUAGUAAAAACCUUUUGUUAAUAGAAGAUUGUGUAUUCGACUCCUGUGACGUUGAGAAUGGGACGUAGGUCGAUUUCAAAAUUGUAGGAAUUGUAGCAAAACCUUUUACAGCAUAAAAGCUUAGUACACCGUUUGCAUUUGUACGGGUCGAUUUUUAAUAAAGGUAAUUUUAAACUCAUAGUUAGCUUCAUAGUUAAACAUUUCUAUACAGUUCGCUCUUUUGUCUUUGAAUUCGUCAUUUUCACGAAGUUAUAAGGAUAAACUUUAAAUAGUUUUAUUUUGCGAUUUGCGUUUCUGUUUCCGCAGUACAGAUGUAAAAAAGUUCAAUUCCAAAGGAAUGUCGUGCAAUGUAUUUAUUGUACUGCUAUAAUAAUAAUAUACUAACACACAACAUGGCCUAGUGAAUAAAUUAGCAUACGUUAUCAAGUCUACGCUCGCUCAAGAGCUAGCAUGCAACUGCGCAACUGGAAGGAAUACAGUUGCGAUGAGCGGCGUCUUAAGACUAUUAAUGUUACUAAAUGUCAAUAAGAUAUCUACCAUUAUUAAUUUCUUUAGUGUCCUUUAGAAUUACCAUCUUAUUCUUCUUCGUCGUUUUCUUCAUUACUAAAGGUCUAUAGCUACCGUAAUAGGGAGGCGAUUUGAGCGACGGUCAAACCACCGACUAGGCGAUCGGCCGCGUGGUAUUCACGUGGCGUCCUGGCAGGCGUCGGGCAAAGUGACGAAAGUAGCGUAGAAUAUUUUUGUAACACAAGGUACAAAACCUGGUGUCGAUACGUAGCUGAUUCAGGAUAGAUAGUUAUUUUUCUAUUAACGAUCAAUGGUAUACUUAGCAUGAAUCCGACAGAACAUUUUUAAAGAUCUUUUUUCACUGUAAAAGAAAAAUCGAUUCGUCAUAAUGUAAACGGAGUUAAAUUUUUUUUCUUUAACCUAUAUCCCUAUUAUCUAUGCGUUUCGAAUAAAUUAACUAACUUAAAGUUAUUGUGUAAUCGAAAUA